rnacentral:rRNA from 1 species
CAAAUUGAGAGUUUGAUCCUGGCUCAGGAUGAACGCUGGCGGCGUGCCUAAUACAUGCAAGUCGAACGCUUUGUGGUUCAGCUGAUUUGAAGAGCUUGCUCAGAUAUGACGAUGGACAUUGCAAAGAGUGGCGAACGGGUGAGUAACACGUGGGAAACCUACCUCUUAGCAGGGGAUAACAUUUGGAAACAGAUGCUAAUACCGUAUAACAAUAGCAACCGCAUGGUUGCUACUUAAAAGAUGGUUCUGCUAUCACUAAGAGAUGGUCCCGCGGUGCAUUAGUUAGUUGGUGAGGUAAUGGCUCACCAAGACGAUGAUGCAUAGCCGAGUUGAGAGACUGAUCGGCCACAAUGGGACUGAGACACGGCCCAUACUCCUACGGGAGGCAGCAGUAGGGAAUCUUCCACAAUGGGCGAAAGCCUGAUGGAGCAACGC